rnacentral:rRNA from 1 species
UACGUAGGGGGCAAGCGUUGUCCGGAAUCAUUGGGCGUAAAGCGCGCGUAGGCGGCCCGGUAAGUCCGCUGUAAAAGUCCAGGGCUCAACCCUGGAAAGGCGGUGGAUACUGUCGGGCUAGAGUCCGGAAGAGGCGAGUGGAAUUCCUGGUGUAGCGGUGGAAUGCGCAGAUAUCAGGAGGAACACCUAUUGCGAAGGCAGCUCGCUGGGACGUAACUGACGCUGAGACGCGAAAGCGUGGGGAGCAAACAGG